AAGGGUAUUAAAUGGUUUCCGCGGGUAAGGCGGAUAACUCGGUCGCGCGGAUCUUCCCAGAAGAGUUUGAUCCUGGCUCAGGAUGGAAUCCUACAGGCUUAACACAUGCAAGUCGAGGGGAAACGGAUGGGUGCUUGCACUGAAUGGACGUCGACCGGCGCACGGGUGAGUAACGCGUAUCCAACCUUCCCAUAACUAAGGGAUAACCUGCCGAAAGGCAGACUAAUACCUUAUGUAAUUCUUGGAUGACAUCAGAAGAGAGUGAAAGAUUUAUCGGUUAUGGAUGGGGAUGUGUCUGAUUAGCUUGUUGGCGGGGUAACAGCCCACCAAGGCGACGAUCAGUAGGGGUUCUGAGAGGAAGGUCCCCCACAUUGGAACUGAGACACGGUCCAAACUCCUACGGGAGGCAGCAGUGAGGAAUAUUGGUCAAUGGGCGAGAGCCUGAACCAGCCAAGUAGCGUGCAGGAUGACGGCCCUAUGGGUUGUAAACUGCUUUUGUAUGGGGAUAAAGUCAAUCACGUGUGGUUGUUUGCAGGUACCAUACGAAUAAGGACCGGCUAAUUCCGUGCCAGCAGCCGCGGUAAUACGGAAGGUUCGGGCGUUAUCCGGAUUUAUUGGGUUUAAAGGGAGCGUAGGCCGGAGAUUAAGUGUGUUGUGAAAUGUAGACGCUCAACGUCUGACUUGCAGCGCAUACUGGUUUCCUUGAGUACGCACAACGUUGGCGGAAUUCGUCGUGUAGCGGUGAAAUGCUUAGAUAUGACGAAGAACUCCGAUUGCGAAGGCAGCUGACGGGAGCGCCACUGACGCUUAAGCUCGAAGGUGCGGGUAUCAAACAGGAUUAGAUACCCUGGUAGUCCGCACAGUAAACGAUGGAUGCCCGCUGUUGGUACCUGGUAUCAGCGGCU
rnacentral:rRNA from 1 species